rnacentral:rRNA from 1 species
AGUGAACGCUGGCGGUAGGCCUAGCACAUGCAAGUCGAACGGCAGCACAGUAAGAGCUUGCUCUUACGGGUGGCGAGUGGCGGACGGGUGAGGAAUACAUCGGGAUCUACUUUUUCGUGGGGGAUAACGUAGGGAAACUUACGCUAAUACCGCAUACGACCUACGGGUGAAAGCAGGGGAUCUUCGGACCUUGCGCGAUUGAAUGAGCCGAUGUCGGAUUAGCUAGUUGGCGGGGUAAAGGCCCACCAAGGCGACGAUCCGUAGCUGGUCUGAGAGGAUGAUCAGCCACACUGGAACUGAGACACGGUCCAGACUCCUACGGGAGGCAGCAGUGGGGAAUAUUGGACAAUGGGCGCAAGCCUGAUCCAGCCAUACCGCGUGGGUGAAGAAGGCCUUCGGGUUGUAAAGCCCUUUUGUUGGGAAAGAAAAGCAGCAGGUUAAUACCCCGCUGUUCUGACGGUACCCAAAGAAUAAGCACCGGCUAACUUCGUG